CAGAAAUCAUCUUUUAAAAACUCAUAUAUUUCUUGAGCAAAAGGAAUACCCAGUUUCUUGUUUACUUUAAUAAGAUGUUACUUAACAUGCUCCAAGCAGAAGAGGAGGAAGUGGAAGGCCACCCUGGACCCUGGAAAGUGACUGACUGAGCAGGAUGCCUUGAGAAAUGUGAUCGUUAAUCAAAUGACAGAGCUGACCAGAGGGGAAACACGAAGAAACAGAAAAACAGUGGGGUAAAGGGAACAACAGCUGAGAGACUGAAUAAGCACACUGUGAGAAGAGAGAAGCUUUCAGGAGGUCUUGUAGCAGAGGUAUCAAUGCCCUGAAGUACCCAUGGCAGCUGGAUUUAUGCUUAAAGGACCUUCCUGGGUGCAUUUUCCAACUUGAUAAUGACACAAAGGUGCUCCUGAGCUUUCUGGGCUUUCGCUGUCCUGGUUCUGCUGCAUGAAACACUCCUGUCCUGGAUAUCUUCUCGGCUGCCUCUCUCACCUCUAUUUAACCAGCUAAACAUCGUUUGUUGACGUGUCUUAAGUAUUUAUGUUUCCACCUGAACUUUUCCUUUUGUUGAUCCUUCAGUUCUCCCUUUGUUCGCUUUUUCUUCAAGUGGUCCAGCUUUCACAGUUUAGGAGUGAUCUCACCUCCACACGAGGCUCCCUGGCCAGGUAUCUGUGAAGCCUUGUCCUCAUGAACUGCUAUAGCAAUUUUUAAAAAUGAAUAUAUCAUUUGCAUCUCA